UCUGCAUAUAAGUUAAAUAAGCACGAUGACAGGGUGACUUUCUUCCUUUAAGUUACAUCUAAAGAUCCCAAGUGCAAGGUAGUGUGCUACACGAGGGGCAAGUGUUUCGCUAACACCACAAGGGUCUCUGGCCCAAUGAGUGGAGUUGGAUAGUAAUACUUGCUACAAAA